GCAUCAUGAUGAUUUUCAGAGUUGCUCACCAUCCACUUGGAUGCUGUCACUCGCUACAGCCAGACAGAGCCUCGGUGAUCAAAUAAAAAAUAUUGUAUAACGAUUAUCUCAAAGCGCACAACGGGUAUUUCGUAACGGUCACAAUAGGACCGGUCCGUAAAAAGUAGAGAAAACGUCGCCUUAUUAUUAUUUUUUUUCCCGGCCUGAUCUGGCUAGAACCUAUCAGGCGCGAUUAC
rnacentral:lncRNA from 1 species